AAGUCGUAACAAGGUUUCCGUAGGUGAACCUGCGGAAGGAUCAUUAAAAAAUUUAAAAAAACCAUAAGAGCUUUCUAUUCUUUUUCUAACGGAAAAGGAUAGAUGCUCAUAUGAACCUUGUGUGCACUGUUAUAACGUUUUUGACGUUUUCAGAAGUUUUCCGGUGGUUUAAAAGUUGAUAUGAAAGUAUCAACCCGCCGGGAAGUGGAGAAUCGUCAUUCUUAUAUGAAACCCUUAUUAUUAUAUAGCCUUGACUGAAGUUAAAUCUAUUUUUGCUUUUAUUAGUAAAAUAGAAGAAUUUUGUAAUAAUUAAAAUACAACUUUCAACAACGGAUCUCUUGGCUCUC
rnacentral:misc_RNA from 1 species